UGAAAUCCUCCAUCUCUCCCUCUCCGCUCCUCUUUCUUUUCUCACCCAUCUUCCUCUCUUUCUUGGCAUCACCGUCCCUUCCCUGCAGCCGCCGAAUUAUGCCGUUAUGCCGCUGCCACCUCUUUCCAGCGACCACCAUAGCCCUGCACCAAUUAUAAAUCAGUGGGUGUAAAGCUUAAUUUCUCUUUGUCAAAUCAGUUCUAUAUAAACGUAUAUAUACAUGUGGUGUUGUGUUUAUAUGGAUUAAAUUGAUUUAUAUAAUCGAUUUAUGUGUGCUUGUAUGUAUAUAAACUGAUUAUAUGCUGGUUUUUGAAAUUUGAAGGUUGAUUGAAUUUUUGAGAUUGAGAUUGGUGUUAGUAAUCGUAUGAUUGAAUUGUGUGCUUAAUUGAUAUUUGAAUUGGUUGUUGUAAGUUGAUUAUAAAUAGUGCGCCAAUUAGUAGUGUAAUCGGAUGACUUGGGUACUUGAAUUAUGGGAAUAUAUAACUGAGUAUUCAAGCUUUAAGGUCAAUCCUCCAUCUCUCCCUCUCCGCUCCUCUUUCUUUUCUCACCCAUCUUUCUCUCUUUCUUGGCAUCACCGUCCCUUCCCUGCAGCCGCCGAAUUAUGCCGCUGCCACCUCUUUCCGGCGACCACCAUAGCCCUGCACCAAUUAUAAAUCAGUGGGUAUAAAGCUUAAUUUCUCUUUGUCAAAUCAGUUCUAUAUAAACGUAUAUAUACAUGUGGUGUUGUGUUUAUAUGGUUUAAAUU
rnacentral:lncRNA from 1 species